rnacentral:rRNA from 1 species
CCACCGCCUGUUGCUGCCCGAUGCCGUUCAGUUUGACUGCGCGGAUGGGGCGCAACGCUCCCGGCCGCGCUGCGCCCCCCUCCCAUUUUUCGAGCUGCCAGUGCGCCCUAAAGCUCCCAAAUUCUGAGUGUUGCUGUCCUCUUGCCUGUAGUCUGUUGUACUGAUGACAACACGGGGGUUCUUGGCAGCGCUUAAAGAGUAUGGACAAAGAUUGGAGACCAAAGAUGGGGGGGCGAUAGGGGACAGCGGGGCCAUGUGUUAUCCACAGGGUUUAAUGCAGGGUUAAGGCAAGGGUCGGGCACUGCUAUGAAAUGAAGCAUGCACAUAUGGAAUACAGUCAUGGGCUAUAUACAGGGUCAGCUGCAUGGUUUAAACUUUAAAGCAAGGUUCUGCUUUGCUACGGAGAAUAACGCGAUAGGACUCUGGUCCUGUUUCGUUGGUCUUCGGGAUUGGAGUAAUGAUUAAUAGAGACAGUUGGGGGCAUUUGUAUUCCGUUGUCAGAGGUGAAAUUCUUGGAUUUAUGGAUGACGAACUUCUGCGAAAGCAUUUGCCAAGGAUGUUCUCAUUAAUCAAGAACAAAAGUUGGGGAUCGAAGACGAUCAAAUACCGUCCAAGUCUGAACCAUAAACGAUGCCGACUAGGGAUUGGCGGAUGUCUAUUGGAUGACUCUGCCAGCACCUUGUGAGAAAUCAAAGUUUACGGGUUCCGGGGGGAGUAUGGUCGCAAGGCUGAAACUUAAGGAAUUGACAGAAGGGUGCCACCAGCCGGGCACCAGGCUUGAAGCCUGCGGCUUAAUUUGACUCGACACGGGGAAACUCAUCGGUCCAGACAUAGCAAGGAUUGACAGAUUGAGACUCUUUUGAGAGCUCUUUCUUGAUUCUAUGGGUGGUGGUGCAUGACCGUUCUUAGUUGGUGGAGUGAUUUGUCUGGUUAAUUCCGUUAACGAACGAGACUCAACCUGUUAAAUAGCUAUGCGGGGAUCUUUCCUCGUGGCCAGCUUCUUAGAGGGACUGUUGGACGACUAGCCAACGGAAGUUUGAGGCAGUAACAGGUCUGUGAUGCCCUUAGAUGUUUUGGGCCGCACGUGUGCUACACUGAUGAAUCCAGCGAAUCACUUGCCUGGGUCGAAAGGUCCGAGUAACCUUCUUAAGGUUCAUCGUGACAAGGAUAGAUUGUUGUAAUUAUCGAUCUUGAACGAGGAACGCCUAGCAAGCUUUAUCAACUCACACUGAUUAUGUCCCUGCCCUUUGUACACACCGCCCGUUGCUUCUACCGAUUGAAUGGUCUGGUGAAGUCUCUGGAUUGCGGUGAUCUCGGCGGUUUGCCGCUGGGGGUGCUGUGAGAAGUUCAUUGAACCUUAUCAUUUAGAGGAAGGCGAAGUCGUAACAAGGUUUCCGUAGGUGAACCUGCGGAAG